rnacentral:rRNA from 1 species
UACGAGGGGAGCUAGCGUUGUUCGGAAUUACUGGGCGUAAAGGGCGCGUAGGCGGUUCUAUAAGUCAGAUGUGAAAGCCCCGGGCUUAACCUGGGAGGUGCAUUUGGAACUGUAGGGCUUGAGUUCGAGAGAGGAAAGUGGAAUUACGAGUGUAGAGGUGAAAUGCGUAGAUAUUCGUAAGAACACCAGUGGCGAAGGCGGCUUUCUGGCUCGAUACUGACGCUAAUGCGCGAAAGCGUGGGGAGCAAACAGG